rnacentral:snoRNA from 1 species
CACCUCCCAGGAUCACGUCUGGAGAAUGGCUAGUAUUCUACCAGCUUCAGAGAUGGGAGGGAAAGCAAGAGUGGCAGAGAUGCCCAUUCCAUUUCCAAUUUCCUCAGUAGCUGGUGAUUGGAAGAUACUCUGCGACAGUG